rnacentral:tRNA from 1 species
GGGCAAUUGGCACAGUGGUAGCGCGCACGCUUCGCAUGCGCAUUGCGAUGUUACGAUUGAGUCUGCGUGAGGUCCAGGGUUCAAUCCCCUGAUUGUCCA